rnacentral:rRNA from 1 species
AGAAUCAACGCUGGCGGCGUGCCUAACACAUGCAAGUCGAACGAGAAAGUGGAGCAAUCCAUGAGUAAAGAGGCGCACGGGUGAGUAACACGUGACUAACCUACCCUCGAGUGGGGAAUAACCUGGGGAAACCCGGGCUAAUACCGCAUAAUACCCACGGGUCAAAGGAGCAAUUCGCUUGAGGAGGGGGUCGCGGCAGAUUAGUUAGUUGGCGGGGUAAUGGCCCACCAAGACGAUGAUCUGUAUCCGGCCUGAGAGGGCGCACGGACACACUGGAACUGAAACACGGUCCAGACUCCUACGGGAGGCAGCAGUGGGGAAUUUUGCGCAAUGGGGGAAACCCUGACGCAGCAACGCCGCGUGGAGGAUGAAGUCCCUUGGGACGUAAACUCCUUUCGACCGGGACGAUAAUGACGGUACCGGAUGAAGAAGCCCCGGCUAACUUCGUGCCAGCAGCCGC